GAUGAACGCUGGCGGCGUGCCUAACACAUGCAAGUCGAGCGGAGAUAAGAGGCGUACUUGUACAAAUUUUAUCUUAGCGGCGGACGGGUGAGUAACACGUGAGUAACCUGCCCUCAAAUGGGGAAUAACAUCGGGAAAUCGGUGCUAAUACCGCAUAAUGUCCAAGGGGCGCAUGGCCUACGGACCAAAGGAGAAAUUCGUUUGAGGAUGGACUCGCGUACGAUUAGAUAGUUGGUGAGGUAACGGCUCACCAAGUCCACGAUCGGUAGCCGAACUGAGAGGUUGAUCGGCCACAUUGGGGCUGAGACACGGCCCAGACUCCUACGGGAGGCAGCAGUGGGGAAUAUUGGGCAAUGGGGGAAACCCUGACCCAGCAACGCCGCGUGAAGGAAGAAGGUCUUCGGAUUGUAAACUUCUUUGACGAGGGACGAAACAAAUGACGGUACCUCGAAAACAAGCCACGGCUAACUACGUGCCAGCAGCCGCAGUAA
rnacentral:rRNA from 1 species